GGCAGCGCGGCGGGGCCUCGGCUGGCCUCGGUUGGCCUCAGAUAGCCGGUCCCCAGCCGUCUCCUCCUGCGGGCCGCUCCGCCCCGCGCUGGUCGUAUCCCGCCGCGCGCCGGGACCCAGGGUCUGGUGCGGAGUGCCCCUUGACCUGGGAAACGGGGUGCCGCCGGAAAGGCCGCCGCCCCCUCGCCCGUCACGCAACGCAACGCACGUUCGUGGGGAACCUGGCGCUAAACCAUUCAUUCAUAGACGACCUGCUUCUGGGUCGGGGUUUCCUAGUAGCAGAGCGGCUCCCUCGCUGCGAUCUGCUGAAAGUCAGUCCUCCACACAAAGCUGAGAAAGAGAAUCUGCAUUCGUGACUGUGAAGGCUAAAUGGGACAAGGACGUGUCAGGCUCUGACAGAUGUCACUACCAUUAGCCAAAGUUUAUCGAGCCUCUGUAAUUGUAGAGCCUUCUACAAUUCAUGGUGUCAUAAGUGUUAAUCAAAGGUUGAGGAUACGAGCAAGAGGUGGCCGUCAUCGCAUUGGGGGACUCGCUGGCACUCCUGGGCAGGCAGCCUAACACUGAACACUGCACACUCUCUCCUUCAGUUUUGAGAAUUUCUUGGCAAACCUUCACCCCUAGAUGGGCUUUCCUCCACAGGCUGCGAGGCUUCGGCCAAGUGGCUCUGUCCUCCUGCUCCUCACCCCAAUCACAGACUCCCUCAUUCCUCCAGCCUCCUUCCUUGGAUCUCUGCCAGCUCAACCAGCCUUGCUUCAUUGUGCAAAACACUCCAGGUCACACCUCAGACAAACAUUUAUUCAUGAGCUGUUCUUGCACCCGGCCUCCCCAGGGUAACAUCUGUCCUCUAUAGGACUAGCUCAUGGUAAACCAGUGAUUAAAAUUUGUGAAUAAAAUUUAUUCAGAGCAUCUAUUAUGUGCUGGGUUCUUGAAAAUAUGGUAAGUUCUUGAAAAAACUUUAUACCCCCAAGAAAGCCAGCAUGUUAAAAAAA